rnacentral:rRNA from 1 species
GCCAACCGCCAUACCACAUUAAACACACCAGUUCUCGUCCGAUCACUGAAGUUAAGUAAGGCCAGGCCCGGUUCGUACUUAGAUGGGUGACCGCCUGGGAACCCCAGUUGCUGUUGGUA